GACGAACGCUGGCGGCGUGCUUAACACAUGCAAGUCGAACGGAAAGGCCCUGCUUUUGUGGGGUGCUCGAGUGGCGAACGGGUGAGUAACACGUGAGUAACCUGCCCUUGACUUUGGGAUAACUUCAGGAAACUGGGGCUAAUACCGGAUAGGAGCUCCUGCUGCAUGGUGGGGGUUGGAAAGUUUCGGCGGUUGGGGAUGGACUCGCGGCUUAUCAGCUUGUUGGUGGGGUAGUGGCUUACCAAGGCUUUGACGGGUAGCCGGCCUGAGAGGGUGACCGGCCACAUGGGGACUGAGAUACGGCCCAGACUCCUACGGGGGGAAGGGGGGGGGAAUAUUGCCCAAGGGGCGGAAGCCUGAUGGAGCAACGCCGGGGGGGGGAUGACGGCCUUGGGGUUGGAAACCGCUUUCGCCUGUGACGAAGCGUGGGUGACGGUAAUGGGUAAAGGAGCACCGGCUAACUACUU
rnacentral:rRNA from 1 species